GGAGGAGCUACGAACACGACAGCAGGUGCUACGCCACAGUGCGGAUUCUCGCCUCGCCUCUCCCCUCAACCAGCAGCUGGCCCCACACUCACUCACUCACUCAGCAGCCCUCCUUCCGCAUUUGUGAGAAGACGCACGGCACACUCACACACCUGACUCCUCGGCCCCCCCUCCCCCUCCAGGACACACACACAGCACGUGUAUUGGCAACACGCGUGGCGUAUUUCUGUGCGCAUCGCAAGCACCCAGUACGGACAAGCUCUUGACUUCCUCCCUCACUAUUAUUAUUAUUACUGUCGUUGUUUAUAUCGACCCCCUCUCCCUCCUCCUCCCCUCUUCUCCCCUCCGCGCCGUUGCCUUUUCGCUUUCUGCACAUUCUUUCAUCGGAGUUGUUCGACGCUUCGUCGGGCAGCAUAUCUCAUCCGCAUCGCCGUCCGCCUCUCCAUCGUUAUCAAAAUCGUUGUUGUCCUUCGCGUGUGGGCGCGCGCAUCCGUGCGCAUUCGCCUCUCGCUGUCUGUCGCUCCCCGUGUGUGUGCGUGCGCGCGUGCGUGCCCUCCCUCCCAACACACGCACGCGCGCACGCCCUUAGCCGCUGCAGGCAUCAUCAGCUGUGCACCCAUCGCGCUGCGAUACGUGCGAUAUGUCGCUCUUCCCUCAAGGCCCCUCAUCGCCGCCGGCGAAAUGUCCGCAGGAGUGCGUUGCCUCCUCAUGUGUGUCGCUUCCCAUAACACCACCGUGUAUCGCCCGCCGCGUACUGCCUCUCUUCCCGCCACCGGGAUGCCACAUGUACGACGCCUACCGCAACUGCUUCCAGUACCGGCCAGAUGUGCGACGGAAGCUUGUCGAGGCGGUGCAGCGGGAGAGGCACCUGCGGCACCAGGCUGCCCUACACGCAGGAGACGCCGCCACUUUGAGUGCUGCGGUGUUGCGCAAGGAAGCAGUGGCGAUGGAUAGCACAUCGUGCUGCUGUGCUCUGGAUGCAGCGCAGCUAUUCGCCACCCCAGAGGACAUGCCGACCCCGCCUCUGCCGCUCUCUCGCUGCGAGCUGCACGAGGUCCUCCUGGCGCUGUCGCCGCGCUGGCAGAGCUACCCGUGGCGACUGUGCUUCGACACCGCCAGUGACGGAUUCAGCCUCUCCAGCCUCUACCGCCGCAUGGAGGCGGUGGAUGCGAAGCAGUCGCAGGUGAAGACCGUCGCCUUCGGGCUGUUCUUUGUGCACUCUGGCGAGGACGCCGCGCUGUCGAACGCGCAGGCCGCGAGCCCGGCGGACAGCCUCUCGGCCUCUUCGAUGAACGUCUCGUACGCGGUGUCGCCACCGGCUGCCGGCGCAUCUCAUUCAUUUCUCGAGGCGCACCGCUCGAGCUCCCGGCGGUACGGCGCCGCCCACGGCGCGCUGCAGCACAGUGUGCUCGGCUGCUUCACCCCUGAGGUGCCGUGCCUCGGUCGCCAUGCCGCUAACAUAUACUUUGGCUCCCCCGACACAUUUGUCUUCCGGCUGGAUCAGCUGAGCUGCGCGCCGUCGCGUGGGGCGUGGAUGGCGACAGAUGUGGAAAAGAAGCAGAGGCCGCAAGGGGCGCAACAGCAGGAGAAGCAGCAGCAUGGCAAGGCUGCCGAGCCUCAUACCUGUGCCCCGGCAACCUCCACAACAGCAGCCGGUGCAGCACCAGCGUACGGUUACGCGAGGCUUGUCCUCGCCGAUGAUGACAUUGCGGGAGUACCGGUACCGAUGCCGAGCCGGAUGACCAUUGAGCACUCCGUGGGCUCGAAGCACACUGUCGACAAGUCGAUGGUGCACUCGUCACCACUCCUGCGACCAAGCGAGGUGCCGCCGCUGCUGAAUCUGUCGCCUCUACGGGCAACCGUCGUUUUAUCCAGCAACGCGGCCGCCAUGUCCGGCGUCCGCGGCGCACCUGACAUCGUUGUGCCGUCCCCGCGGGGUAGGCGGCAUCGACUGCUGCGCCCUGUGCACCCGGCUCGAGUGGUGCCGCAGGCGCCGCUGUUGGAGAAGUUCACCUGGUGCGGCAACACGCAUAAUAGAAAGUUCAUCGUCUGCAACCCCCACUUCUUCGCCAUUGGAGGCGGCCAAAGCGGGGCGGCCCUAUACGUCGACGAGGCGCUGCAGUACGGCACGAGCAGCACUUGGUGCGAGACGUUCAGCGCGCCGUGUCUCUUCGGCCCGCGCAUGGGCAGCGCCGACGUAUCACCCGUAUCGUCGUUGAUGCAGUCGUACAUAUCUGGAAAAGACAGUCCCCGUGGCGGCCCUGCGCGCCAGGCCAGCGGCUUGCCACACGUCGAGUUCGCCAUCAGCCGCGUCGUGUGGUUCAGCAUCACAGAGGACAAGCGUAAUCUGCGCAUAAUGAGCGUCGCCGACGCAUCUUUACCCUCUGCUGAGGCGCACCGCUGUGGCUGUGGGCGUUACAGCUGCGCUAACGGCAGUCACACCACCACUCUCGACACGAUGUCAGCAGGGAAAUCAACAACGCCAUCGCCGCCACCCGCCUCCACGUUUCUUCACCGGUGCGACUUACUGCCGUUCGCGGCGCCAAUCUAGAGACAGGCGCACGCGCUUUACAAGCCGCAAGGGGUGAGGUGGGCGAGGUCGGCGAGGUGGGGUGGGGAGGGGCAGGGCGCCGGUCUGCAGAUCUCUCUCCAAAGCGGUGUGUGCAUGCGCGCGGCAGGCAUCCGUUACCCGCAUGAGGGCAUCCGUUCCUGCAUUCUUCUCCGGUCACGAUGGAGGCUGCACAUCACCGCUGCUUCUAUCACUCCUCUGCUCGUGUGUGUGUGUGUGUGUGUGUGUGCGUGUGUGUGUGCGUGCUUGCGUGUGUGUCUGUGCUCCUUUCCGCGAACUAGGCUGUAGCGCACGAGGACCGUAGCGUAGGGGUGCGCACUCAGAGCGAUAACACGUCCUGUAGGUACUUCAGCGCGCCGUCUACCCGUCUUGUGCACUCCGCUCUCGUGUUCUGCAUGUGC
rnacentral:misc_RNA from 1 species